GACGAACGCUGGCGGCGUGCUUAACACAUGCAAGUCGAACGGAAAGGCCCUGCUUUUGUGGGGUGCUCGAGUGGCGAACGGGUGAGUAACACGUGAGUAACCGGCCCUGGACUUUGGGAUAACUUCAGGAAACUGGGGCUAAUACCGGAUAGGAGCUCCUGCUGCAUGGUGGGGGUUGGAAAGUUUCGGCGGGUGGGGAUGGACUCGCGGCUUAUCAGCUUGUUGGUGGGGGAGUGGCUUACCAAGGCUUUGACGGGUAGCCGGCCUGAGAGGGUGACCGGCCACAUUGGGACUGAGAUACGGCCCAGACUCCUCCGGGAGGCAGCAGUGGGGAAUAUUGCACAAUGGGCGGAAGCCUGAUGCAGCAACGCCGCGUGCGGGAUGACGGCCUUCGGGUUGUAAACCGCUUUCGCCUGUGACGAAGCGUGAGUGACGGUAAUGGGUAAAGAAGCACCGGCUAACUACGUG
rnacentral:rRNA from 1 species